rnacentral:rRNA from 1 species
AUGAACGCUAGCGACAGGCCUAACACAUGCAAGUCAGGGGCAGCACAAGGAGCAAUCUGAGGUGGCGACCGGCGCACGGGUGAGUAACACGUAUGCAACCUGCCUGUAAGCGGGGAAUAACCCGUUGAAAGACGGACUAAUACCGCAUAAUACUAAAUUACUGCAUGGUAAUUUAUUUAAACAUUUAUGGCUUACAGAUGGGCAUGCGCAUGAUUAGCUAGUUGGAGAGGUAACGGCUCCCCAAGGCAACGAUCAUUAGGGGUUCUGAGAGGAAGGUCCCCCACACUGGUACUGAGACACGGACCAGACUCCUACGGGAGGCAGCAGUGAGGAAUAUUGGUCAAUGGACGAGAGUCUGAACCAGCCAAGUCGCGUGCAGGAAGAAUGUCCCUAUGGAUUGUAAACUGCUUUUGCAGGGGAAUAAAGUGCAUCACGUGUGAUGUUUUGUAUGUACUCUGCGAAUAAGAAUCGGCUAACUCCGUGCCAGCCGCCGC